CACGUAGGGCGCGAGCGUUGUCCGGAAUUAUUGGGCGUAAAGAGCUCGUAGGCGGCCUGUUGCGUCCGCUGUGAAAGCCCGGGGCUUAACCCCGGGUCGGCAGUGGAUACGGGCAGGCUAGAGGUAGGUAGGGGAGAAUGGAAUUCCCGGUGUAGCGGUGAAAUGCGUAGAGAUCCGGAAGAACACCGGUGGCGAAGGCGGCCUGCUGGGGUCUUGGCUGACGCUGAAGCGCGACAGCGUGGGGAGCAAACAGG
rnacentral:rRNA from 1 species